rnacentral:rRNA from 1 species
AUUGAACGCUGGCGGCAGGCCUAACACAUGCAAGUCGAACGAGUGGCGGAUGGGUGAGUAAUGACUGGGACACUGCCUGAUGGAGGGGGAUAAAGUCCGGAAACGGGCGCUAAUAUCGCAUACUAUCAGAUGAGCCUAGGUGGGAUUAGCUAGUUGGUGGGGUAAAGGCUUACCAAGGCGACGAUCCGUAACUGGUCGGAGAGGAUGACCGGCCACCCGGGAACUGAGACACGGUCCAGACGCCUACGGGAGGCAGCAGACGGGAAUAUUGCACAAUUGGGGCAAGCCUGAUGCAGCCAUGCCGCGUGUAUGAAGAAGGCCUUCGGGUUGUAAAGUACUUUCAGCGGGGAGGCGUUACCCGCAGAAGAAGCACCGGCUAACUCCGUGCCAGCAGCCGCGGUAAUUC